AACGAACGCUGGCGGCAUGCCUAACACAUGCAAGUCGAACGAGACCUUCGGGUCUAGUGUCGCACGGGUGCGUAACGCGUGGGAACCUGCCCUUAGGUUCGGAAUAACUCCCCGAAAGGGGUGCUAAUACCGGAUAAUGUCUUCGGACCAAAGAUUUAUCGACUUUGGAUGGGCCCGCGUUGUAUUAGAUAGUUGGUAGGGUAAAACCCUACCAAGGCGACGAUCCAUAGCUGGUCUGUGAGGAUGAUCAGCCACACUGGGACUGAGACACGGCCCAGACUCCUACGGGAGGCAGCAGUGGGGAAUAUUGGAAAAUGGGCGAAAGCCUGAUCCAGCAAUGCCGCGUGAGUGAUGAAGGACUUAGGGUUGUAAAGCUCUUUUAACCGGGAUGAUAAUGACAGUACCGGGAGAAUAAGCUCCGGCUAACUCCGUG
rnacentral:rRNA from 1 species